rnacentral:rRNA from 1 species
GACGAACGCUGGCGGCGUGCCUAAUACAUGCAAGUCGAGCGAACGGACGAGAAGCUUGCUUCUCUGAUGUUAGCGGCGGACGGGUGAGUAACACGUGGAUAACCUACCUAUAAGACUGGGAUAACUUCGGGAAACCGUAGCUAAUACCGGAUAAUAUUUUGAACCGCAUGGUUCAAAAGUGAAAGACGGUUUUGCUGUCACUUAUAGAUGGAUCCGCGCUGCAUUAGCUAGUUGGUAAGGUAACGGCUUACCAAGGCAACGAUGCAUAGCCGACCUGAGAGGGUGAUCGGCCACACUGGAACUGAGACACGGUCCAGACUCCUACGGGAGGCAGCAGUAGGGAAUCUUCCGCAAUGGGCGAAAGCCUGACGGAGCAACGCCGCGUGAGUGAUGAAGGUCUUCGGAUCGUAAAACUCUGUUAUUAGGGAAGAACAUAUGUGUAAGUAACUGUGCACAUCUUGACGGUACCUAAUCAGAAAGCCACGGCUAACUACGUG